UGUGCUUGAUGGUGAAGUCUCUGGUUUAAAGUGCAUAACAGCUUGAUAUUGUACUAUGGAGUCUGAGUAGAGAGUAUUAUAUUUUCCUCCACUUAAAGAAGAACAGAGCAAUGGUGCUAUAUAAAACACUUCAGUGAAUUUUAUGCUUUAAAGAGUUAUUUGUUGAUCGUGAAAGGGCCCCAUAGGUGUAUGUAUAACUCACUACCUUAGACCAAGCCACUUGCAGUCCCCCUCAAACAUCUACUCUAUGUAACAAUCUUGGCUUUUCAAAUCUCUGUAGUCUGAUAUUCCAGAUUGGCCACUACACCAACACAAAGAUGACAAUUUCACCAAUAGAAACGACGAUGUAAAAGAUGGCCUUUCACUCAUCGGCGAAAUAAUCAACUAUCAAUUGGGGUUGCCGCUUUUCUGGUUUCAUCGCCUUUAACUACAACUGAACAUCAAUGAAGAAUUCGGCGUCGUCGUCGUCGUCGUCUCCAUCUACAACUUUACCAGGGAUUCACAAUGAUCAUGUGGAAUUGAUGGCAGCUUCAAGAGUGGACUCUUCAUGCUCUCGAGUAACAAAGAGGCUAAUGAAAAAGAAAAUUUUCGAGCACGCGGGAUGCUGGGCCGACGUUCCGUUAUCCUUAGAUAAUGUUGUUGCAGACUAAGAGAUGAUAAAACUAGGUGUUUCUGAACACAUGAUGUACAACCCUCCAAUCAUAUUGAUACGGUCUCCCUGAAAGUAAGCGGUUUAAAACUGUAAUGUAUUUAUAAAAUUGAAAAAUUUAGGCUUGAACUAGGGUGUAUUCCCUAAAAGCAAUAAAAGAAAGACUGAAAUUCUUUCAGCUCAAACAUCCAAACAAAAUUUAUAGCUCCUACAAAUGCAUCAAUUUUCAAUCAA